CAGUAGCCGCGGUAAUACGUAGGGGGCAAGCGUUGUCCGGAAUUAUUGGGCGUAAAGCGCGCGCAGGCGGUUUAUACAGUCAGAUGUGAAAUUCCUGGGCUCAACCUGGGGACUGCAUUUGAUACGUAUGGACUUGAGUGGAGGAGAGGGUCGUGGAAUUUCCAGUGUAGAGGUGAAAUUCGUAGAUAUUGGAAAGAACACCGGUGGCGAAGGCGGCGACCUGGCCUUUAACUGACGCUGAGGCGCGAAAGCGUGGGGAGCAAACAGGAUUAGAUACCCCCGUAGUCCCUGUCUCUUAUAC
rnacentral:rRNA from 1 species